rnacentral:rRNA from 1 species
UACGAAGGGGGCUAGCGUUGUUCGGAAUUACUGGGCGUAAAGCGCACGUAGGCGGAUCGAUCAGUCAGGGGUGAAAUCCCAGGGCUCAACCCUGGAACUGCCUUUGAUACUGUCGAUCUGGAGUAUGGAAGAGGUGAGUGGAAUUCCGAGUGUAGAGGUGAAAUUCGUAGAUAUUCGGAGGAACACCAGUGGCGAAGGCGGCUCACUGGUCCAUUACUGACGCUGAGGCGCAAAAGCGUGGGGAGCAAACAGG